CCCUAUGGGGUGCAGCAGGCGCGAAACCUUCACAAUGUGCGAAAGCGCGAUGAGGGGAUCCCAAGUGCUUGCACUUAAGUGUAAGCUGUUUCUUUGUUUAAAAAGCAGAGAGAGGAAGGGCUGGGUAAGACGGGUGCCAGCCGCCGCGGUAAUACCUGCAGCUCGAGUGGUGACCGCUAUUAUUGGGCCUAAAACGUUCGUAGCCGGCUGAGUAAAUGCUUGGGUAAAUUGUGCCGCUUAACGGUACGAAUUCCGGGUAGACUACUCAGCUUGAGACCGGGAGAAGCUAGAGGUACUCCUGGGGUAGAGGUGAAAUUCUGUAAUCCUGGGGGGACCACCAGUGGCGAAGGCGUCUAGCUAGAACGGGUCUGACGGUGAGGAACGAAACCCUGGGGCGCAAACCGGAUUAGAUACCCGGGUAGUCCAGGGCGCAAACGCUGCUUGCUUGAUGUUAGCUGGGCUCCGAGCUCAGCUAGUGUCGGAGAGAAGUUGUUAAGCAAGCUGCCUGGGAAGUACGAUCGCAAGAUUGAAACUUAAAGGAAUUGGCGGGGGAGCACAGCAACGGGUGGAGCGUGCGGUUUAAUUGGAUUCAACGCCGGAAAACUCACCGGAGGCGACGGUUACAUGAAGGCCAGGCUGAUGACCUUGCCUGAUUUUCCGAGAGGAAGUGCAUGGCCA
rnacentral:rRNA from 1 species